AAUCAACGCUGGCGGCGUGCCUAACACAUGCAAGUCGAACGGGAAGGGAGGCUUCGGCCUCCCGGAGAGUGGCGUACGGGUGAGUAACACGUGGGUAAUCUGCCUUCGGGUGGGGAAUAACGAUCCGAAAGGGUCGCUAAUACCGCAUAAUGCAGCGGCACCGCAUGGUGACAGUUGUUAAAGGGGGGGAUCGCAAGACCUCCCGCCGGAAGAGGAGCCCGCGCCCGAUUAGCUAGUUGGUGAGGUAAUGGCUCACCAAGGCUUCGAUCGGUAGCCGGCCUGAGAGGGCGGUCGGCCACACUGGCACUGAGACACGGGCCAGACUCCUACGGGAGCAGCAGUGGGGAAUUUGGGCAAUGGGCGCAAGCCUGACCCAGCAACGCCGCGUGAAGGACGAAAUCCCUCUGGG
rnacentral:rRNA from 1 species